UACUCAGAUUGAUAUGAGUCA
rnacentral:miRNA from 1 species